rnacentral:tRNA from 2 species
UGGGAUGUAGCUCAGUGAUUGAGCACUUACCUCGCAUGUUUGAGGCCCGAGGUUCAACUCCUAGUACCACAA